rnacentral:rRNA from 1 species
GACGAACGCUGGCGGCGUGCUUAACACAUGCAAGUCGAACGGAAAGGCCCUGCUUUUGUGGGGUGCUCGAGUGGCGAACGGGUGAGUAACACGUGAGUAACCUGCCCUUGACUUUGGGAUAACUUCAGGAAACUGGGGCUAAUACCGGAUAGGAGCUCCUGCUGCAUGGUGGGGGUUGGAAAGUUUCGGCGGUUGGGGAUGGACUCGCGGCUUAUCAGCUUGUUGGUGGGGUAGUGGCUUACCAAGGCUUUGACGGGUAGCCGGCCUGAGAGGGUGACCGGCCACAUUGGGCCUGAGAUACGGCCCAGACUCCUACGGGAGGCAGCAGUGGGGAAUAUUGCACAAUGGGCGGAAGCCUGAUGCAGCAACGCCGCGUGCGGGAUGACGGCCUUCGGGUUGUAACCCGCUUUCGCCUGUGACGAAGCGUGAGUGACGGUAAUGGGUAAAGAAGCACCGGCUAACUACGUG